UACGUAGGGUGCAAGCGUUGUCCGGAUUUACUGGGCGUAAAGAGCGCGCAGGCGGUCGUAUAAGUCGAAUGUGAAAGCCCCCGGCUCAACUGGGGAGGGUCAUUCGAUACUGUUCGACUCGAAGGCAGGAGAGGGAAGUGGAAUUCCGGGUGUAGUGGUGAAAUGCGUAGAUAUCCGGAGGAACACCAGUGGCGAAGGCGACUUUCUGGCCUGUUCUUGACGCUGAGGCGCGAAAGCUAGGGGAGCAAACGGG
rnacentral:rRNA from 1 species